CACCUUGUAAGCGUUGAGACUUCCAAUGGCUUCCCCAACUUGUCGUAGUUGCUCCAUUGUUGAUACGUGGAACCUAGGUGGAGUAUGUGCACCUGAGGGAUGCAGAGAGUCAGAACCCGACACGAGCUGGCAUUUCUAAUGAUCAGUCUAACCACCCAGACCUUGAGAUUUGAAGGGAAACUACUAGAGGAAGAAAGAACGCGAGGGUCUACGGCCUAGGCACAUACUCAAUUUUUUCUAUAAGGUGUAUCACUUUGUUCUGGUCAUAAUUCACCCUCCAUUGAUGAUGAAAUCUCUGUGCAUGUGGACGCACUCGCUGAGGAGUUGUAGGCUAGCUUCAUUGCUGAGCUUCCUUAUAUGGAGGAUGAAGGCGGCAGAGCAAGCUAGGGAUGUCAGGGUCGAGAGGCUUGAAGCAACUAUAU